UACAGAGGUGGCAAGCGUUGUUCGGAUUCACUGGGUUUAAAGGGUGCGUAGGAGGGCAGGUAAGUCAGUGGUGAAAUCGUCCGGCCCAACCGGACACGUGCCAAUGAUACUGUCGAGCUAGAGUGCGUGAGGGGUGGGGGGAACGAGCAGUGUAGCGGUGAAAUGCAUAGAUAUGACAUAGAACACCAAUCGCGAAGGCAGCUGGCUAAACAGAUAUUGACGCUGAGGCACGAAAGCGUGGGGAUCAAACAGG
rnacentral:rRNA from 1 species